rnacentral:rRNA from 1 species
GACGAACGCUGGCGGCGUGCCUAAUACAUGCAAGUAGAACGCUGAAGCGAGGAGCUUGCUCUUCUUGGAUGAGUUGCGAACGGGUGAGUGACGCGUAGGUAACCUGCCUUGUAGCGGGGGAUAACUAUUGGAAACGAUAGCUAAUACCGCAUAACAAUGGAUGACACAUGUCAUUUAUUUGAAAGGGGCAAUUGUUCCACUACAAGAUGGACCUGCGUUGUAUUAGCUAGUAGGUGAGGUAAUGGCUCACCUAGGCGACGAUACAUAGCCGACCUGAGAGGGUGGUCGGCCAAACUGGGACUGGGACACGGCCCAGACUCCUACGGGAGGCAGCAGUAGGGAAUCUUCGGCAAUGGGGGCAACCCUGACCGAGCAACGCCGCGUGAGUGAAGAAGGUUUUCGGAUCGUAAAGCUCUGUUGUAAGUCAAGAACGGGUGUGAGAGUGGAAAGUUCACACUGUGACGGUAGCUAACCAGAAAGGGACGGCUAACUACGUG